UUUCUUUAUCCCUCGACAGUNGCAGGUGGGAUCUGUUUCUCGUCUCAGCUGGCACACUGGCCAGGGCGUACGAUGCUCCCAAUGCCCCGGCGGCAUGGGUAGCCGUCUCUCACGCUCGCAAGGAAAAGUCUGGUGCCAGCAGCCGCGGUAAUUCCAGCUCCAAUAGCGUAUAUUAAACUUGUUGCAGUUAAAAAGCUCGUAGUUGUAUUUUUGCGUUAGCGGUUUGACCAUUUGGUUGGUUAUUUCGUUUUCGCUUUUGGGAAUUUCCCUUUUUACUUUGAGAAAAUUAGAGUGUUUCAAGCAGACUUUUGUCUUGAAUACUUCAGCAUGGAAUAAUAGAGUAGGACUUUGGUUCUAUUUUGUUGGUUAUUGAACCUUAGUAAUGGUUAAUAGGAACGGUUGGGGGCAUUUCGUAUUUAAAA
rnacentral:rRNA from 1 species